rnacentral:rRNA from 1 species
CAGUAGCCGCGGGAAUACGAAGGGGGCUAGCGUUGUUCGGAUUUACUGGGCGUAAAGCGCACGUAGGCGGACAUUUAAGUCAGGGGUGAAAUCCCAGAGCUCAACUCUGGAACUGCCUUUGAUACUGGGUGUCUGGAGUAUGGAAGAGGUAAGUGGAAUUCCGAGUGUAGAGGUGAAAUUCGUAGAUAUUCGGAGGAACACCAGUGGCGAAGGCGGCUUACUGGUCCAUUACUGACGCUGAGGUGCGAAAGCGUGGGGAGCAAACAGGAUUAGAUACCCCAGUAGUCCCUGUCUCUUAUAC